GACGAACCGUACAAACGUUAUUCGGAAUUACUGGGCUUAAAGGGUGCGUAGGCUGUGCGGAAAGUUGGGUGUGAAAUCCUCCAGCUCAACUGGGGAACUGCGCUCAAAACUACCGUGCUUGAGGAAUAUAGAGGUGAGCGGAACUUAGGGUGGAGCGGUGAAAUGCGUUGAUAUCCUAAGGAACACCGGUGGCGAAAGCGGCUCACUGGAUCUUUUCUGACGCUGAGGCACGAAAGCUAGGGGAGCAAACGGG
rnacentral:rRNA from 1 species